rnacentral:sRNA from 1 species
UAUUACUUUGUUAAAAAGUUACUAGAGAUGUACACUAUUUAUUUUGAUUAAUUUAAUUAUUCUGCACAGCACUGUUACAUUUUUCCAGUGCUAAAACCGCUGGGAGUGCGCAGCCAAAUUGAAAUCGACACAGAGGCGUUCAAGUGCCAGCGAAUAGAGAGAUCACGCCCCUUCCGGUUACGCCCUCUUUUUUUGGGAGGGGUGCGCGGCCGGGGCUUAUUUCCCCUUCCGGUGGAGUCGAACUCUUUGAGCGGCGAGGCAUACCUAAGUCGGUAAAUGAGCUUUCGGCAGCAUCUUUGCAAAUGAGUAAAGAAAUCAAGAGCACGAAGUCGAGCAAGUUUUUGGCAUCUUAUUUCGUUCUGAAAGUCGCACUGAAUUCCAUUUCAUGCUCCAAUGUUGUCAGAGAUUCGAUUUCAGCUUAUUUUCGUCGUCAGAAGUUCGUUUUGGGCCAAAGUGAAAUAUUAAAUAUUUAGUUGCAGCUGUGCAAUGAUGAAAUGUUGCAACAAUUUCCCCAGCACUGCCAUAUGAGUUAUUUUUGAAAGUAUCUAGGUAACACGCUUACUCCCUUCAUACUACAUUCAUUGACAUCCCAGAAUUAAUUGCUGUUCUCGUGAGUUGUGCUCAUUAAACUACCUAGAACCUUUCGUUGUUAGCUUUUGGAUUUCGUGCUAUUUCCGUGAACAAUGGCGAGUCCAGAGUGAAUGGUCGAAUCAGAAAUUUCCACAGAAGCGUGCUUUCAUUUCAUUGUCUCGACUGUCAUCUCGAAUUCAUUCGUUCGUUUUCGUUUUCGGCUUCACUUGCCACUUCCACUCUCGAAACCAGAGUUCACCUUCAGUUCAGAGUUGCAGGACCUCAUUUGGACUAAACUCGUCCUUGCUGCCCGCUUUCAACUGGAAUUACACUGGGAAAAUGUGUCAUUAAACAAAGAGAUUAGUGGGAUAUCUUGUGAUGAAACUACUACUUUUUGCUUCUCACAAAAUUAAAAGUAAAGCUCUUUUCGUAUGGCACUUUCUAUGCCAUUUUCUAUGCCAUUUUCUAUCUACAAUUGAUUGUUUUAGUUAAUAUACGACUAUUUUUUGCCCUGUACAUACCUCCUUCGGUUGUUGCAUUAUUGAUAAUUUCGUCUAGCUUCAAAGCUGGAACAAAGCCGCUUACGCCUAUUUGUUUUCCCAUACUUGGUUUUCCGUUGGCCGGACUUCUUGGCCAUUUAAGGCGAUCAUUACACCUAGCCACACACAAAAGUCGACUCUGUGGGCCGCAGGACAUCAAAGUCGUUUUCAUUAAUUGAACUGCUGUCUCAGCUCCAUGGUCAAGUUGAAGUCCAAGUUACAGAGCUGCGGAGGCAAACAUGGACCACUGGGCCACACAAAAUCCGACCCCCAAUCCAAUUAAGUGUACUUUCUAUGGCGCUUUUAUCUGCAAGUGCUUGCUUUUUAACGCACUCAAAGGACAAGUCUGAUGCCAAAAACUGCGAAUGAGACUGAGGCUGUCAUAAGUGGCGAAUGGCGAAUGGUGACUGGCUGCUGGCGAAUCGACGACAAUUCAUUGUCUUCUGCAAGUUGGUCCUGGUCGGGAUGGAUGGUGGGGACUAAGGACGCAGGACGCUUAAUUAUGUCAAACCGUAUUAACUGGGGAACCAGGACCUCCUCUCCUUUACGUUCCGCCACUGUCAGUAAUUAGAGACGUUGGACGAUCCGCUCUGUGCCGAGUUAUUGGCGUUGUCGUUUAGCAUUCGGCAUGGAAAACUUUUGAAAUGCGUAUGGCACGUGGUGCUGCACAGAUGAAAUGAGUGGAGUAAUGAACAGUGGUACAGUCUUUAUUGUCAUAACAAAAAAAUUACAUAUAAGAACGAAAUGCUGUAUUGCCAAUUAUCAGCAUAGAAAAUAUUGGUUUUAUACUUCCAAAUGA